rnacentral:lncRNA from 1 species
GCAAGGAUCACGAGAUGAUUUCUGAGACUGUUCCAAUGAAAGCAGUUUGUUAUUGCCUCUAGAGGAAGCAUUUAAGCGGCCCACAGCCCAAAGGUGAAUGUGAAAACGACUUCCAAGUGCGCAUCCUGGCACAGCUGGAGCCAGAAGAGCUCCUGACCAACUCGGACUCUUGGGAGGAACUCAAACAGCAAGAGGAGGAACCGGUGUUUGCAAAAGAAGAG